rnacentral:rRNA from 1 species
CCUACGGGACGCAGCAGUGAGGAAUAUUGGUCAAUGGCCGAGAGGCUGAACCAGCCAAGUCGCGUGAGGGAAGAAUGUCCUAUGGAUUGUAAACCUCUUUUGUCAGGGAGCAAAGUCACCCACGUGUGGGUGUUGGAGAGUACCUGAAGAAAAAGCAUCGGCUAACUCCGUGCCAGCAGCCGCGGUAAUACGGAGGAUGCGAGCGUUAUCCGGAUUUAUUGGGUUUAAAGGGUGCGUAGGCGGAGUGUCAAGUCAGCGGUAAAAUUUCGGGGCUCAACCCCGUCGUGCCGUUGAAACUGACGCCC